ensembl:lncRNA
GCUAGCAGAGGACACAAACCCCCAACCGUUACAGAUAAUUGAAUUGGAUUUGUCGGAUGAGCUGAUACAGUAACGGCGUCCAUGGCUAUCGAUCCCUUGGCAAUGGCUAAGACCAGCUCCGAUAUUGCAGCCAAGAGGAUUUCAUAAGGGGGGAAGAAAAAACACUCCAGCCUUUUCCAGAAAUAUAAUGGUUCUUGUAUCGAAAAGGAUUAGGGUUCAGGCGACUGGCGUGGUGCUUCCCGUCUGGGCUUCUCUGUGCUGCGGUUCUCAGCUCUGGGGAGGGAGGUGUGUGGACCCACAGCGUCAAAGGCUACCCUGGACAGCCUCCAAGAGCCCUCAAUGCAUACGUAUGACUUCACAAAAAGGGGUUGCAACCCCCUAAGCCCUGCACUCAGCUGGCUGGAAUAUUGUAAUGAUUGUAAUGUAAUGUGUCAUAUCAGCAUUAAGAGACGAUGAGAGAGAGAGAGAAAGAGAGAGAGAGAGAGAGAGAGAGAGAGAGAGAGAUGUGAGAAGGGAAGUGGGGGAAAGCAAUGAGACCAGGCUGAACUGUUAAAUAGGACAAUAUCUGCACUUGGGAAGUAGCCAUCAGGAUGGAGUCUGGAUUGCAGCCCAAAAGGCUGGUAAGGACAGAGGUUGG